CAGUCUCCCCCACCUCUCUCCCCACAAGAUGCUACAAAAGAGCAGACUCCUUGUUCUGCACCUCAGCAUAAGGAAACAGCCCAGCAAUGCACAUCCCGUUCAUCACGACCCCAGAAAAGGUCAUCAUCGAGUGGUGUAAGUAAUGCUCCCAAAGAGACUCAGAAAAAGAAGGAGAUGAACGCGAGCAUUACAUCAUUGAUGAA